UACGUAGGGGGCAAGCGUUGUCCGGAAUCAUUGGGCGUAAAGCGCGUGUAGGCGGCUUGGUAAGUCUGCUCUGAAAGCCCGGGGCUCAACCCCGGGAGGCGGGUGGAUACUGUCAAGCUCGAGUCCGGAAGAGGAGUGUGGAAUUCCUGGUGUAGCGGUGGAAUGCGCAGAUAUCAGGAGGAACACCAAUAGCGAAGGCAGCUCGCUGGGACGUUACUGACACUGAGGCGCGAAAGCGUGGGGAGCGAACAGG
rnacentral:rRNA from 1 species